rnacentral:rRNA from 1 species
UACGAAGGGGGCGAGCGUUAUUCGGAAUCACUGGGCGUAAAGCGUGCGUAGGCUGUUUGGCAAGUUGGAAGUGAAAGCCCGGGGCUCAACCCCGGAAUUGCUUUCAAAACUGCCAGACUCGAAUUCGGGAGAGGAUAGCGGAAUUUCCAGUGUAGUAGUGAAAUACGUAGAUAUUGGAAGGAACACCAGUGGCGUAAGCGGCUAUCUGGACCGACACUGACGCUGAGGAGCGAAAGCCAGGGGAGCAAACGGG